CAUAUCAAUAAGCGGAUCUUGGUCAUUUAGAGGAAGUAAAAGUCGUAACAAGGUCUCCGUUGGUGAACCAGCGGAGGGAUCAUUACCGAGUUUACAACUCCCAAACCCAAUGUGAACGUUACCAAACUGUUGCCUCGGCGGGAUCUCUGCCCCGGGUGCGUCGCAGCCCCGGACCAAGGCGCCCGCCGGAGGACCAACCAAAACUCUUAUUGUAUACCCCCUCGCGGGUUUUUUUAUAAUCUGAGCCUUCUCGGCGCCUCUCGUAGGCGUUUCGAAAAUGAAUCAAAACUUUCAACAACGGAUCUCUUGGUUCUGGCAUCGAUGAAGAACGCAGCGAAAUGCGAUAAGUAAUGUGAAUUGCAGAAUUCAGUGAAUCAUCGAAUCUUUGAACGCACAUUGCGCCCGCCAGUAUUCUGGCGGGCAUGCCUGUCCGAGCGUCAUUUCAACCCUCGAACCCCUCCGGGGGGUCGGCGUUGGGGAUCGGCCCUCCCUUAGCGGGUGGCCGUCUCCGAAAUACAGUGGCGGUCUCGCCGCAGCCUCUCGUGCGCAGUAGUUUGCACACUCGCAUGGGGAGCGCGGUCCGUCCACAGCCUUUAAACACCCAACUUCUGACAUGUUGACCUCCGAUCACGUAGGAAUACCCGCU
rnacentral:rRNA from 1 species